rnacentral:lncRNA from 1 species
CCCUAGUACUCUCAAAACGUUUCAUGCAUAGCACAUCCUUUUUUACUUUGGUUACACUUUGAACAAUGAUACCUUCUGAAACCAUAUGGGUAGUCCUUUUCUUUUCUCUUAGCAAAGACAGUAUCAUGAUUCUACUAGAUUUUAUUAUAAAUAAUAACAAAAAUGACGAUCGAUGUGUUCAAAGUAUUGUUUUCACUGUAU